GGGAUACCACUUGAAAACAGGUGCUAAUACCGGAUAACAACAAUAGCUGCAUGGCUAUUGCUUAAAAGGCGGCGAAAGCUGUCGCUAAAGGAUGGACCCGCGGUGCAUUAGCUAGUUGGUAAGGUAAUGGCUUACCAAGGCGACGAUGCAUAGCCGAGUUGAGAGACUGAUCGGCCACAUUGGGACUGAGACACGGCCCAAACUCCUACGGGAGGCAGCAGUAGGGAAUCUUCCACAAUGGGCGAAAGCCUGAUGGAGCAACGCCGCGUGAGUGAAGAAGGUUUUCGGAUCGUAAAGCUCUGUUGUUGGUGAAGAAGGAUAGAGGUAGUAACUGGCCCCUAUUUGACGGUAAUCAACCAGAAAGUCACGGCUAACUACGUGCCAGCAGCCGCGGUAAUACGUAGGUGGCAAGCGUUGUCCGGAUUUAUUGGGCGUAAAGCGAGCGCAGGCGGAAAGAUAAGUCUGAUGUGAAAGCCCCCGGCUUAACCGAGGAAUUGCAUCGGAAACUGUGUUUCUUGAGUGCAGAAGAGGAGAGUGGAACUCCAUGUGUAGCGGUGGAAUGCGUAGAUAUAUGGAAGAACACCAGUGGCGAAGGCGGCUCUCUGGUCUGUAACUGACGCUGAGGCUCGAAAGCAUGGGUAGCGAACAGGAUUAGAUACCCUGGUAGUCCAUGCCGUAAACGAUGAGUGCUAAGUGUUGGGA
rnacentral:rRNA from 1 species